GAGGGUAUAGCUCGGUGGUAGAGUGGCUGCCUAGCAUGCACGAGGUCCUGGGUUCGAUCCCCAGUACCUCCA
rnacentral:tRNA from 1 species